CCUGGGGUGUGGGGAGGAUCCAGCUUCCUGUGUGUUGGGGCCCCUCUGCUGAAAACGGGGUGCUAUGGUAUGAAUGUGUCCCCAGAUUUCAUGUGUUGACACUUAAUCCCCAAAUCCACUUCUAUUUUUUAAGGCAGGGUCUUUUGGUUGGGUGCGGUGGCUCACUCCUGUAAUCCCAGCACUUUGGGAGGCAGAGGCAGGUGGAUCACAUAAGGUUAGAAGUUCGGGACUAGCCUGACCGACAUGGUGAAACCCCAUCUCUACUAAAACUAUAAAAUUAGCUGGGCGUGGUGGUACACGACUGUAAUCUCUUGAACCCAGGAGACAGAGGUUGCAGUGAGCUAAGUUUGCACCAUUGGACUCCAGCCUGGGCAACAAGAGCAAAACUCCAUCUCAAAAAAAAAAGGACAGGGUCUUACUCUGUCGCCUAGGCUGGAGUGCAGUGGUGCAAUCUCAGCUCACUGCAGCCUGGUUCUCCCUGGCUCAAGCGAUCCUCCCACCUCAGCGUCUCAAGUGGCUGGGACCAAAGGUACGCUACCAGACCUGGCUAAUUUUUAGGUUUUUUGUAGAGAUGGGAUUUCACAUUGGCCAGGCUGGUCUUGAACUCCUGGGCUCAAGUGAUCCUGCUGCCUCGGCCUCCCGAAGUGCUAGGAUUACAGGCGUGAACCACUGUGUCCAGUCCUCCUGUAAUUCACAUGUUGGUUGGAGGUGGGGCCUCUGGGAGGCAAUUAAGGUUAGAUAAGGUCCUUGGGUUUGGGCCCACGGUAGAAUCGGUGGCUUUAUGGGAAGAGAGAGACCUCAGCUGGCAGCUCUUGCCCUCCCCCACAACGCGACUGGGCCCCUCGACCUUGGACUUCCCGGCCUCCUCAACUGCUGGAGGGCACCUCGGUGCAGCCUCCUGUGAUGGUGGGAACCCUGGGCAGAAGCUCGCUGGCAACCGGUCCUGCAGGCCCAGCGCUGAGCUCAGACAGGCAGGGGGUCUGUGCACGCAUCAAUUGCUGCCUUGGGCAGCUGUGGGCAUGGCAGCACCUCGGCGUCCAACACCUGCCUGA
rnacentral:lncRNA from 13 species